rnacentral:rRNA from 1 species
GGAUGGAUCAUUAACGUUCUUAAAACAAAAUGCAAUGGCUAGUUGACGGUAUUGGCUCAUAGCGCACUGGCAAUCGUUAGUCGUGGGCUCGCAUGCGUGCUGAUACGCUCUGUCGGUUGUGUCUAACGCAGAUUGCUUACUUGAUGCUAGCCAGUAUAUUGCUGUUUGUUUGUAGCUGGCCGGCGGGGUUUCCUGUCGGUCGGUUGCGGCGUCCAGCAUAUACAAGCAUUACACCCUUGUGGUUUACAGGACAUUAUUGUAUAAUGUGUGUUGUUGUGGCGGCGCCUCGUGUGUAGCCGCAGACACGCAUUGUUCAGUAGCCAUCAUAAAACACUUAUCUCUAUUUAAAAGACUAAAGUAACCUUGUGGAUCGAAUCACGCAUGCGUAUCUAGUAUAUGUUUGUUUGUUUGUAAUUACCGAAGUAAAACUAAUCAUUAAUAUCUAUACAACUGCUAGCAACGGAUCACUCGGCUCUCGCGUCGAUGAAGAACGUAGCGAAGUGCGAAAAUUAAUGCGACCCGCAACACGUGAGUCAUCGAGUUUUUGAACGCAUAUUGCACCCAGCCGUUAAAGCGCUGGGUCUGCCUGUCUGAGUAUUAUUAAUACCCAAUUUCAACCGGCAAGGUUGUGAGUUGGUGCUCACUGGCACACUGUCUUUCGGGAUGAUGUGUCGGUGGAUCUGGAUGUCUGGUCGGUUUGCAAUAACAGCGGACCAGUCAUUUGAAAUACAUUGGUAAUAGUUAAUCAACUGUUAAUGAUUGCCACCUGCUUCAAGCAUUGUUAAUCAUCUUUCAUUAGGUGUUCCUUGCUCACAAGCGGAUGGGUCAACGAUCAUUAGCCGGGCGGUCGACACACCUCGUGUGGCAGCCGUCUGUCUAUUCAGAAGUUAUUAAUGCCAUUUGCACAGCAGUGUGACCGAUUCAACGUCGGUUUCCCAGCUGUACACUCAUGUAUCUACUUAAUCUCAGAUCAGGCAUGAUGACCCGCUGAACUUAAGCAUAUCAAAUGCGAAAAAA